rnacentral:rRNA from 1 species
GAUGAACGCUGGCUACAGGCUUAACACGUGCAAGUCGAGGGGAAACGACGGGGAAGCUUGCUUCCCCGGGCGUCGACCGGCGCACGGGUGAGUAACGCGUAUCCAACCUGCCUCUGACUGAGGGAUAACCCGUCGAAAGUCGGCCUAAUACCUCAUGGCAUCGUCUGCGGGCAUCCAACGACGAUUAAAGAUUUCAUCGGUCAGGGAUGGGGAUGCGUCUGAUUAGCUUGUUGGCGGGGUAACGGCCCACCAAGGCUACGAUCAGUAGGGGUUCUGAGAGGAAGGUCCCCCACAUUGGAACUGAGACACGGUCCAAACUCCUACGGGAGGCAGCAGUGAGGAAUAUUGGUCAAUGGGCGGGAGCCUGAACCAGCCAAGUAGCGUGCAGGAUGACGGCCCUAUGGGUUGUAAACUGCUUUUAUGCGGGGAUAAAGUGAGGGACGUGUCCUUCAUUGCAGGUACCGCAUGAAUAAGGACCGGCUAAUUCCGUG